CUGGCGGCAGGCCUAACACAUGCAAGUCGAGCGGAUGAAGGGAGCUUGCUCCUGGAUUCAGCGGCGGACGGGUGAGUAAUGCCUAGGAAUCUGCCUGGUAGUGGGGGAUAACGUCCGGAAACGGGCGCUAAUACCGCAUACGUCCUGAGGGAGAAAGUGGGGGAUCUUCGGACCUCACGCUAUCAGAUGAGCCUAGGUCGGAUUAGCUAGUUGGUGGGGUAAAGGCCUACCAAGGCGACGAUCCGUAACUGGUCUGAGAGGAUGAUCAGUCACACUGGAACUGAGACACGGUCCAGACUCCUACGGGAGGCAGCAGUGGGGAAUAUUGGACAAUGGGCGAAAGCCUGAUCCAGCCAUGCCGCGUGUGUGAAGAGGGUCUUCGGAUUGUAAAGCACUUUAAGUUGGGAGGAAGGGCAGUAAGUUAAUACCUUGCUGUUUUGACGUUACCAACAGAAUAAGCACCGGCUAACUUCGUGCCAGCAGCCGCGGUAAUACGAAGGGUGCAAGCGUUAAUCGGAAUUACUGGGCGUAAAGCGCGCGUAGGUGGUUCAGCAAGUUGGAUGUGAAAUCCCCGGGCUCAAACUGGGAACUGCAUCCAAAACUACUGAG
rnacentral:rRNA from 1 species